AGUCAGAUUAGCUAGUUGGUGGGUAAAGGCCUACCAAGGCGACGAUCUGUAGCGGGUCUGAGAGGAUGAUCCGCCACACUGGGACUGAGACACGGCCCAGACUCCUACGGGAGGCAGCAGUGGGGAAUAUUGGACAAUGGGCGCAAGCCUGAUCCAGCCAUACCGCGUGUGUGAAGAAGGCCUUUUGGUUGUAAAGCACUUUAAGCGAGGAGGAGGCUACUUGGAUUAAUACUCUAGGAUAGUGGGCGUUACUCGCAGAAUAAGCACCGGCUAACUCUGUGCCAGCAGCCGCGGUAAUACAGAGGGUGCGAGCGUUAAUCGGAUUUACUGGGCGUAAAGCGUGCGUAGGCGGCUUCUUAAGUCGGAUGUGAAUCCCUGAGCUUACUUAGGAUUGCAUUCGAUACUGGGAGCUAGAGUAUGGGAGAGGAUGGUAGAUUCCAGGUGUAGCGGUGAAUGCGUAGAGAUC
rnacentral:rRNA from 1 species